rnacentral:rRNA from 1 species
AAUAUAAGGGAGGCGGGCAUAAGACUGCCAGUCGAACGAACUUAACUCAUUCUUUUAGAUUGAGAGCGGUUAGUGGCGCAUUUAAGAGUAACACGUAAGCAACCUGCCUAUCAGAGGGCCCCUACAGUGAGAAAUCAUUGCUAAUACCGCAUAAGCUAGUAGUAUCACAUGAUACAGCUAGAAAAGGAGUAAUCCGCUGAUAGAUGGGCUUGCGCCUGAUUAGCUAGUUGGUGGGGUAACGGCCUACCAAGGCGACGAUCAGUAGCCGAACUGAGAGGUUGAACGGCCACAUUGGGACUGAGAUACGGCCCAGACUCCUACGGGAGGCAGCAGUCGGGAAUAUUGCGCAAUGGAGGAAACUCUGACGCAGUGACGCCGCGUAUAGGAAGAAGGUUUUCGGAUUGUAAACUAUUGUCGUGAGGGAAGAAGAUGACAGUACCUCAGGAGGAAGCUCCGGCUAACUAUGUGCCUGCAGCCGCGGUAAUACAUAGGGAGCAAGCGUUAUCCGGAAUUAUUGGGUGUAAAGGGUGCGUACACGGGAAAUUAAGUUAGUUGCGACAUCCCUUGGCUUAACUGAGGAACUGCACCUAACACUGAUUUUCUUGAUUACUGUACAGGAAAGUGGAAUUCCCAGUGUAACGGUGAAAUGCGUACAUAUUAGGAGGAUCACCUGCGGCGAACGCUACUUUCUGGACAGUAUCUGAUGUUGAUGUAUGAAAGUGUCGGGAGCACCCUGGAUUAGAUAUCCUGCGAACCCAUACUCGUAACGAAUGGAAUACAAGUGUAAGGUUGAAUCAUUC